GGAUUGUGGCUCAGUGGCAGAGUGCUUGCCUCACAUGUAUGAGGCACAGGGUUCAAUCCUCAGCACCA
rnacentral:tRNA from 1 species